rnacentral:tmRNA from 1 species
CCCUUUGAAGUCGGCGUCGGGGAUGCCUAUAUUCCCGGUGCCGGCUUGCCGGCUAUGGCGAUAAACGAUGCGUGGAAUAAGCGUUGUGGACCCGGGGGCAGUGCCCGGCGCCUCCACCAAUACUCCGGCGUGCCGGAGUCGCGGGGGCGAAACAGGCUCGACACGCGUGGUAAAGACCCAUCUUUUGCUCGGCAUGGUUCCGCCGUUAUCGGGCCGUAUCACAAGUGCCAACGAUAACAACGUGGUGCUCGCUGCCGCUGCAUAAGCGGUAAGCGCGGUUCGAGGGGGCACCGGGCAACAGAAGCCCCCUCACU